GAGUGAGUUGAGUCUUCUCUUUCAGAGAAUCAUCUGAUGAAAUUCCAGGCUCCUGAAAGGUUGGAGGAAGAGUCAGGGAAGCAGGGAUAUAGCAAGCCCAUAAUGACAACUAACACCUCCAAAACUGAAUAGGGCUAGAUGAAAUGUAAUGGAACCUUCAGAUAUAUGAAGAUUUAAUUUCGCACAAGUGUUGCCAACAGUCAUGUUCUGAGAGCUGCUACUGUAGAAGGAAAAAACAAGCAUGCUAGGACCCCGGAUUAUGCUGGGCGUGAGUGUCAACAGCAGCCCAGAUUGGAGGCCCAGAACCUACUGAAGAUUCCAGAAGCCUGCCAGGCUCCUUUGCCAGAGAAGAAGAAUAAAAAACAACCCACUGAAAACUUCAGUUGUUCAGGUAAGAUCAACAAACUAGAUGAGUGAAAGGGAGCCAGAAGCAGAAACGGGACAAGGAAAUAGACUAUUAGUGUGACAAGCGCUCCGAUAUGGACUGCCACAAGGAUAUAGUCAUUGAGCCUACUAGGCCCUCUGCAAGGCAAUG
rnacentral:lncRNA from 1 species